rnacentral:rRNA from 1 species
GUAUAAGAGACAGCAGUCGCCGCGGUAAUACAGAGGGUGCGAGCGUUAAUCGGAUUUACUGGGCGUAAAGCGUGCGUAGGCGGCUUUUUAAGUCGGAUGUGAAAUCCCUGAGCUUAACUUAGGAAUUGCAUUCGAUACUGGGAAGCUAGAGUAUGGGAGAGGAUGGUAGAAUUCCAGGUGUAGCGGUGAAAUGCGUAGAGAUCUGGAGGAAUACCGAUGGCGAAGGCAGCCAUCUGGCCUAAUACUGACGCUGAGGUACGAAAGCAUGGGGAGCAAACAGGAUUAGAUACCCCAGUAGUCCCUGUCUCUUAUAC